CCGAUGGUGGAAGCCAUGGUUGCUUUGGUUAUUUUGGAUCAACUGAUGGUGCAGUAUGCACAAUGCCAGCUGCUACCCAUCAACCCAUGCCUCCAAGAACCUAUGGAGGCACCAAAGCUUGAGGUUUGGUUUACCUGAAACAUUGUCCAAUUGUUACUACUUGAAGGUUUCAAAUUUUCUUCAGGCAAUAUGUGGUUGUAAUUUCACUAUUAUGUCUCAGCUUUCGGAGCUUUUCAGAGUGAUAUUUUUAUCUCAUUUUUUUUUCGAAGUCAUGAAAACUUUGCAAGAUUAUGUGAAGUAAAUUUUUAUGCUUCUAUUUAGGUUCUUCUAUGAAUCAAAUAUGUACUUGCAAAAUGGUCUUGCUUGUACAUCUUGAUCAUUAACUCUGAGCUUUCUGCAGAUUGUGGAGAAACUUCUAAUUGCAGCUGCUGCAGAUGCUGAUGUUAGUGUUCGUCAGUCAGUCUUUCUAUCUCUGCAUGGAAAUGGAGGUUUCGAUGAAUUUUUGGCACAGGUUGAUAGUUUGAGUGCUAUCUUUGUUGCUCUUAAUGAUGAGGAUUUUGAUGUUCGAGAGUUUGCUAUAUCAGUUGCUAGCAGAUGGUCUGAAAAGAAUCCAGCAUAUGUUCUACCUGCACUUCGUCGCCAUCUCAUAUAAUUGUUGAUGCAUCUUGAGCAAAAGUAAUCUGAAAGAUAUCUACUUGUCAAUAAUAUUAUUGAUUUAUGGGGAAAUGAAUGCCCUUUUAUUUGUUUCACAUCAUUAUCUUUGAAAUAUUCAGAUCACAACUUUUCUCUUGGUAUUUAAGCAGUGCAGAUAACAAAUGCAGAGAAGAAAGUGAUAAACUCUUGGGCUGCCUAAUUCGCAACCUAAUGUUGCACUAGACAUAAGCGAAAAUCAAAAGCAGCCUUCAUAUAAGAUGGGUAACUAUGAUGCAAUGAUUAUGUAGAAGCUUGCUGCCAUGCGGCAGUUGGAACGUGAGCUUUGAGGCCAUCUUUGCCAUUGAUUACCAGGGAAUUAUGUUAUUCUUAGUGAAGAAGUUCUUGCGGGUCUGUAUUGAUUUAGUUUAAUGGCUUCAUUAAGGUUGAGUUUAAAUGUUGUUAGUGGUUAUCUUCCUUUGGCAGGAAUGUUUGGAGGAUCUAGCAGGUAAAGAUGCCUAAGAGAAAUCUGAUGCUGCUAUAGAAACCCUUUUACAAGAGCUUCUAGAUGAAAGAAAUGUCAAUAAAAGACCGGAUGAUUCAAAACAGAUACAGGAAAAGUCAAAGAAAAAAAAAGAAGAGAGAUUAUAGAAGAGAUAAGAAUAUAAAUAUUUGUGGAACCUAAUGUUGUGUAACAGUUUGAUUGAGUUUGUUUUAAAAACUUUAGGUAGACUGUUGUUAACUAUUUU